rnacentral:rRNA from 1 species
GACGAACGCUGGCGGCGUGCUUAACACAUGCAAGUCGAACGGAGAGGCCCUGCUUUUGUGGGGUGCUCGAGUGGCGAACGGGUGAGUAACACGUGAGUAACCUGCCCUUGACUUUGGGAUAACUUCAGGAAACUGGGGCUAAUACCGGAUAGGAGCUCCUGCUGCAUGGUGGGGGUUGGAAAGUUUCGGCGGUUGGGGAUGGAAUCGCGGCUUAUCAGCUUGUUGGUGGGGUAGUGGCUUACCAAGGCCUUGACGGGUAGCCGGCCUGAGAGGGUGACCGGCCACAUUGGGACUGAGAUACGGCCCAGACUCCUACGGGAGGCAGCAGCGGGGAAUAUUGCACAAUGGGCGGAAGCCUGAUGCAGCAACGCCGCGUGCGGGAUGACGGCCUUCGGGUUGUAAACCGCUUUCGCCUGUGACGAAGCGUGAGUGACGGUAAUGGGUAAAGAAGCACCGGCUAACUACGUG